UGUCUCACUUGUUUUACCAAUUUGAUUACAUAUUUAUUUUGAAAAUGUUUUUCAAGUCCUUAUGCAGAGCACAUAGAUUCCACAACACCAUUUGACAAAGUGAGUUCCCUCAGAGCUCUUUUUGUGCAUGUUUGUUACAUGAUUUUACUCAAAAACAUCCGAAUUGAUUUCAGGUUGACUAUUAUACACAUCCAGGAAACUACAGCCCUGUUUUCCAUGAAAAAAUUGCCCCUUAUGCAUCUGUAAUUGUGAAUUGCAUGUAUUGGGAGAAACAGUUUCCUAGAUUAUUAUUGAGUACCAAGCAGCUUCAAGAUUUAACGAGGAAAGGAUGUGUUGGAAUCUCUGAUUUCACUUGUGAUAUUGGGGGAUCAAUAAAAUUUGCAACAGAAUUUGCAAAGGACAAGGCAACAAUUCCAUGAAUAUGAAUAUGAAUUUGAAUAAUUCGAAUUUAGGAAAAAGUGGUGGAGAAUGAAAGAGUUGGAGAAGAUCCAGAAGCCUUGAUAUUUUCAAACGUGAUCCUGAUUUCCUUGAGAAUGAGAAGCGCUAUGAAGAAUUGAAGAAAACCCUACUUGGUGAGGAGUCUGAAGAGGAAGAAGGUUCUGAUGAUGCAGUUUCAGAUGCCUUUCCCUGGCAGCAUGUGCUAGGCAAUAUACAGUUGACUGAAGAGGACACCACUUAUCUUCUCGUAUUUUUCUCAAGUUCCUUUUCGUGGAAUUGUCGGAGUAUCUUGGCAUCCGUUUGCUAAACCAGCGGCUCAAAGAUCCUGCAUUGCAGGACUCUCAUGAUUCUAUUUUCCCAAACGAUAAUCCCAAGAACACCAGCUUUACCAUUAACUUUUUCACAUCCAUUGGUCUUAGCAGCAUCACUGAGAAGCUGCGUGACUACUUGAAGCAGAUGCCACGACUAUGCAACAACAAAAAUCGGUGUCAGACUCAGAAUCAGAUGAUGAAGAAUACAAGAGUCGUUCUGGUUCAUCCGAGUCGGACACAGAAAGUUCUGAUUCUGAUGAAGGUGAAAGCGAUAGGGACGAAAGAAGCAAGAAGCGCAGGAGACGAAGGAGACAGGAAGCGUAGGACGAGAGUGAUGGCAGAAUCUUCGCGCAGUCCUGUACAGUGUUGAUAUAUUCUUUCUUUCUGUGAACAACAAUGCUUACUUUGCUUUUAGUUUCUGUGCUCAAGAGAGCCUGUUCUGAUGGUA